UGCAGCAGUUAUCGGCGAGCAGAUCUUAUAUCGUAUAAAAACGGAUUUUGCAUGGAGUGCCAUUGAGAGAUCGUGUAUUGCAGAAACUGAGGACAAAUAGGUGAUUAAAGGAAGUAUGAAGAUUAAAUUAAUUAACUAAUUAAUUAAUUGAAAACGUCAACACAAAAUAAUAAUAAUAAUAAUAAUAAUAAUAAUAAAUGAAAUUUUAAAACAAGCAGUCGAUUCUCGAUACACAGAGAACGGUUUGUAAUAAUAAACUUUACAUGUGUGAUAUUUUGUAUAUAAAUGUAUGAUGGACCUUGGAGUUUUGAUCCGAACAAUCUUUGAGGUUUGAAGUGGAAUACAUUUAUCUUAUUGUUUCUUCUUCGAAAAGAAAUUAAAUCAAUAUGUUAAUUUUGUAAAUGGAGUGAAAAAUGA